GAGGGAAACACAACAUACAUUAGUCAUCAAUGUGUACAGGUGUCUCUCUCUCUACAGGACUGGUACUACAGGUGUCUCUCUCUCUACAGGACUGGCACUACAGGUCUCUCUCUCUCUACAAGACUGGCACUACAGGUAUCUCUCUCUACAGGACUGGUACUACAGGUGUCUCUCUCUCUACAGGACUGGCACUACAGGUCUCUCUCUCUACAAGACUGGUACUACAGGUCUCUCUCUCUACAGGACUGGCACUACAGGUGUCUCUCUCUCUACAGGACUGGUACUACAGGUGUCUCUCUCUACAGGACUGGUACUACAGGUGUCUCUCUCUCUACAGGACUGGUACUACAGGUGUCUCUCUCUACAGGACUGGCACUACAGGUGUCUCUCUCUACAGGACUGGCACUACAGGUGUCUCUCUCUACAGGACUGGCACUACAGGUGUCUCUC